rnacentral:rRNA from 1 species
GUCAAUCUAACCUAUGGAUGGGGAUAACCUCGGGAAACUGAGAAUAAUACCCAAUAGAUCAUUAUGCCUGGAAUGGUUUAUGAUCCAAAUGAUUUAUCGCCAUAGGAUGGGACUGCGAUCUAUCAGCUUGUUGGUGAGGUAAUGGCCCACCAAGGCUAUAACAGAUACGGGCUCUGAGAGGAGAAGCCCGGAGAUGGGUACUGAGACACGGACCCAGGCCCUAUGGGGCGCAGCAGGCGAGAAAACUUUGCAAUGUGCGAAAGCACGACAAGGUUAAUCCGAGUGUUUUCUGCUAAAGAAAUCUUUUGUCAGUCCUAAAAACACUGAUGAAUAAGGGGUGGGCAAGUUCUGGUGUCAGCCGCCGCGGUAAAACCAGCACCUCAAGUGGUCAGGAGGAUUAUUGGGCCUAAAGCAUCCGUAGCCGGCUGUGUAAGUUUUCGGUUAAAUCUAUGUGCUCAACAUAUAGGCUGCCGAGAAUACUGUACAGCUAGGGAGUGGGAGAGGUAGACGGUACUCGGUAGGAAGGGGUAAAAUCCUUUGAUCUAUUGAUGACCACCUGUGGCGAAGGCGGUCUACUAGAACACGUCCGACGGUGAGGGAUGAAAGCUGGGGGAGCAAACCGGAUUAGAUACCCGGGUAGUCCUAGCUGUAAACUAUGCAAACUCAGUGAUGCAUUGGCUUGUGGCCAGUGCAGUGCCGCAGGGAAGCCGUUAAGUUUGCCGCCUGGGAAGUACGUACGCAAGUAUGAAACUUAAAGGAAUUGGCGGGGGANCACCACAAGGGGUGAAGCCUGCGGUUC